GCGCAGCGAUUGGAGCCCGCGGGCGCGAGAGGAUCCCCGGGCCGCGGCCCCGCCUCCCGAAAGCACCUCCUCCCAGCCGGGCCGCCGCCGGGCAGGGGUCUUAGCCAACGAGAGACAGGAUCUCACUCUGUCUCCUGGACUGAAGUGCAGUGGCACGAUCGUAGCUUACUGCAGCCUCGAACUCCUGGGCUCAAGCAAUCCUCCAGCCAUCCCACCAUCUACAUUAAAUGUGGACUCUUGUUCUGUUGCCAGGCUGGAGUGCAGUGGCAUGAUCUCGGCUUACUGCAACCUCCGCCUCCUGGGUUCAAGCGAUUCUCCUGCCUCAGCCUCCCAAAUAGCUGGAACUACAGGCGCACACCACCACACCCAGCUAAUUUUUGUAUUUUUAGUAGAGAUGGGGUUUCACCAUGUUGGCCAGGAUGGUCUUGAUCUCUUGACCUCGUGAUCCUCCUGCCUCAGCCUCCCAAAGUGCUGGGAUUACAGGUGUGAGCCACCACACCCGGCCUGUUCAUUAAAUUUUUGUCAGUAACUCCUAUAAACUGUCUAGGAUUAGUGUCUUUUUCAGGGGGAAAGUUUGAGACUUCCAAAUAUGUUUCUUUCUUGGCAAUGGGUUAUCCUAAUUUUCUAUCCCUUCUUAACUCUUUUUUGGAUAUUUAUAAUUUUAGAAAAUUGUCCUGUUGAUCUUAGGUUUUCACAUUUAUUUUAAGUUUUCAUAGCAUUGUUUUAUCACCUUUUUUUUUUUUUUCAAGGCCGAGUCUCACUCUGUCAACCCAGACUGGAGUGCAAUGGCGCAGUCUCAGCUCACUACAACCUCCAUCUCCUGGGUUCAAGUGAUUCUCCUGCCUCAGCCUCCUGAGUAGCUGGGAUUACAGGUGCCCACCACCAUGCCCGGCUAAUUUUUGUAUUUUUAUAGAGACAGGGGUUCACCAUGUUGGCCAGGCUAGUCUCAAACUCCUGACCUCAGGUAAUCCACCCACCUCAGCCUCCCAAAGUGCUGGAAUUACAGGUGUGAGCCACUACGCCCGGCCGUGUUUUAUUACUUAAAACGUUAUUGUGAAAUAAAGGGAGUUUUUGAGCUUCUAAAGCAUUUGUAUUGUGAACCCAUUUUAAUUCCUAAUAGUGGUUAGUUUUGGUUUCUCUGUUUUUCCCUUAUUAGUCUUUGUAGAAAUUUGCCAAUUUUAUAUAUCUAAGAGGGAAAAAGAAACUUGGUUUUGUUUCUUUUUUUUUUUCUUUGUAUUUUUAGUAGAGAUGGGGUUUCACUAUUUUGGCCAGGCUGGUCUUGAACUCCUGACCUUGUGAUCCACCCACCUCAGCCUCCCAAAGUGCUGGGAUUACAGGUGUGAGCCAUCAUGCCCGGCCCUGGUUUUGCUGUUUCUGUUUUGUUCAUUUAAAUAUUUAUUGGGGCCUCUCCCCUCUCCCCUCUCCCCUCUCCCCUCUCCCCUCCUCCCUCCCCCCUCUCCCCUCUCCCCUCUCCCCUCUCCCCUCUUUCCACGGUCUCCCUCUGAUGCCGAGCCGAAGCUGGACGGUACUGCUGCCAUCUCAGCUCACUGCAACCUCCCUGCCCGAUUCUCCUGCCUCAGCCUGCCGAGUGCCUGCGAUUGCAGGCGUGCGCCGCCACGCCUGACUGGUUUUCGUAUUUUUUUGGUGGAGACGGGGUUUCGAUGUGUCGGCUGGGCUGGUCUCCAGCUCCUAACCGCGAGUGAUCCCCCAGCCUCGGCCUCCCGAGGUGCCGGGAUUGCAGACGGAGUCUCGUUAACUCAGUGCUCAAUGGCGCCCAGGCUGGAGUGCAGUGGCGUGAUCUCGGCUCGCUACAACCACCUCCCAGCCGCCUGCCUUGGCCUCCCUAAGUGCCGAGAUUGCAGCCUCUGCCUGGCAGCCACCCCGUCUGGGAAGUGAGGAGCGUCUCCGCCUGACUGCCCAUCGUCUGGGAUGUGAGGAGCCCCUCUGCCUGGCUGCCCAGUCUGGAAAGUGAGGAGCGUCUCUGCCCGGCCGCCAUCCCAUCUAGGAAGUGAGGAGCGCCUCUUCCCGGCCGCCAUCACAUCUGGGAAGUGAGGAGCGUCUCUGCCCAGCCGCCCAUCGUCUGAGAUGUGGGGAGCACCUCUGCCCUGCCGCCCCGUCCGGGAUGUGAGGA